GACGAACGCUGGCGGCGUGCUUAACACAUGCAAGUCGAACGGAAAGGCCCUGCUUUUGUGGGGUGCUCGAGUGGCGAACGGGUGAGUAACACGUGAGUAACCUGCCCUUGACUUUGGGAUAACUUCAGGAAACUGGGGCUAAUACCGGAUAGGAGCUCCUGCUGCAUGGUGGGGGUGGGAAAGUUCGGCGGUUGGGGAUGGACUCGCGGCUUAUCAGCUUGUUGGUGGGGUAGUGGCUUACCAAGGCUUUGACGGGUAGCCGGCCUGAGAGGGUGACCGGCCACAUUGGGACUGAGAUACGGCCCAGACUCCUACGGGAGGCAGCAGUGGGGAAUAUUGCACAAUGGGCGGAAGCCUGAUGCAGCAACGCCGCGUGCGGGAUGACGGCCUUCGGGUUGUAAACCGCUUUCGCCUGUGACGAAGCGUGAGUGACGGUAAUGGGUAAAGAAGCACUGGCUAACUACGUG
rnacentral:rRNA from 1 species